GGGGGUUCUUAGGUGACGCACACUAGAAUCAGGCUCCCUCCUCUCUGGUUCCAGUGUGUGUCAUCUGAGAACUGUC
rfam:Myotis davidii contig207807, whole genome shotgun sequence.